CAGCAGCCGCGGUAAUACGUAGGGUGCAAGCGUUAAUCGGAAUUACUGGGCGUAAAGCGUGCGCGGGCGGUUCGUAAGACAGAUGUGAAAUCCCCGGGCUUAACCGGGGACCUGCAUUUGUGACUGCGAGGCUAGAGUGUGUCAGAGGGGGGUGGAAUUCCACGUGUAGCAGUGAAAUGCGUAGAUAUGUGGAGGAACACCGAUGGCGAAGGCAGCCCCCUGGGAUAACACUGACGCUCAUGCACGAAAGCGUGGGGAGCAAACAGGAUUAGAUACCCCGGUAGUCCCUGUCUCUUAUACA
rnacentral:rRNA from 1 species